AUGAACGCUAGCGGCAGGCUUAACACAUGCAAGUCGAGGGGCAUCGGGAGUAGCAAUACUGCCGGCGACCGGCGCAAGGGUGCGUAACGCGUGAGCAACAUGCCCGUAUCAGGGGGAUAAUCCAUGGAAACGUGGUCUAAUACCCCAUAGUAAUUAUGUAAGGCAUCUUAUAUAAUUUAAAGCUUUGGUGGAUACGGAUUGGCUCGCGUGACAUUAGCUGGAUGGUAAGGUAACGGCUUACCAUGGCUACGAUGUCUAGGGGUUCUGAGAGGAAGGUCCCCCACACUGGAACUGAGACACGGUCCAGACUCCUACGGGAGGCAGCAGUGAGGAAUAUUGGACAAUGGAUGGAAAUCUGAUCCAGCCAUGCCGCGUGCAGGAAGAACCGGCCCUAUGGGUUGUAAACUGCUUUUGUAUGGGAGCAAUAAGGGCUACGUGUAGUCCGAUGAGAGUACCAUACGAAUAAGCACCGGCUAACUCCGUGCCAGCAGCAGC
rnacentral:rRNA from 1 species